UUGACCUCGUGAUCCACCCGCCUCAGCCUCCCAAAGUGCUGAGAUUACAGGCGUGAGCCACCUCAUGCUGCGGGCCUCCCUUCUUCUUUACAGGGGUGUCCUGAGAGGUCGUCAGGCACUGUGGUCAUUUCCAGCUCCGUUCUCAUCACUGCCGAUCUGGAGCCGUCUGGGCAAGGGUGCCCGGCGCAGAGAGUUCACGGUGGCUGCGGUGACCGUGCUGGCCGCAGUCGUCACCCUGGUGUGGCAUUCAUUGCUUUCCUUCCACACUUUAAGAGCAGCUCUGCUGUAUAAGAUGUUUCUGGAAUGCAGAUGACUCUGUGCACUCCAGGCAUGAAAGGAAACAUGCCUGACCUCAGCCUGAAGCCCACUGCUCUAGACCAGGUGUCAGCAAACUACAGCCUGCCGGCCAGAUUGGGCCCGACACCUGUGUUUGCAAAUAAAGGUUUUCUUUUUCUUUUCUUUUU